GUCCUUGUAGCUCAGCAGGAUAGAGCGUCCGCCUCCUAAGCGGAAGGUCGUGAGUUCGAAUCUCGCCAGGGACGCCA
rnacentral:tRNA from 1 species